rnacentral:rRNA from 1 species
GACGAACGCUGGCGGCGUGCUUAACACAUGCAAGUCGAACGGAAAGGCCCUGCUUUUGUGGGGUGCUCGAGUGGCGAACGGGUGAGUAACCCGUGAGUCACCUGCCCUUGACUUUGGGAUAACUUCAGACAACUGGGGCUAAUACCGGCUAGGAGCUCCUGCUGCAUGGUGGGGGUCGGAAAGUUUCGGCGGUUGGGGAUGGACUCGGGGCUUAUCAGCUUGUUGGUGGGGUAGUGGCUUACCAAGGCUUUGACGGGUAGCCGGCCUGAGAGGGUGACCGGCCACAUUGGGACUGAGAUACGGCCCAGACUCCUACGGGAGGCAGCAGUGGAGAAUAUUGCACAAUGGGCGGAAGCCUGAUGCAGCAACGCCGCGUGCGGGAUGACGGCCUUCGGGUUGUAAACCGCUUUCGCCUGUGACGAAGCGUGAGUGACGGUAAUGGGUAAAGAAGCACCGGCUAACUACGUG